rnacentral:rRNA from 1 species
AUUGAACGCUGGCGGCAGGCUUAACACAUGCAAGUCGAGCGGUAGCACAGGGGAGCUUGCUCCCUGGGUGACGAGCGGCGGACGGGUGAGUAAUGUCUGGGAAACUGCCUGAUGGAGGGGGAUAACUACUGGAAACGGUAGCUAAUACCGCAUAACGUCGCAAGACCAAAGAGGGGGACCUUCGGGCCUCUUGCCAUCAGAUGUGCCCAGAUGGGAUUAGCUAGUAGGUGGGGUAAUGGCUCACCUAGGCGACGAUCCCUAGCUGGUCUGAGAGGAUGACCAGCCACACUGGAACUGAGACACGGUCCAGACUCCUACGGGAGGCAGCAGUGGAGAAUAUUGCACAAUGGGCGCAAGCCUGAUGCAGCCAUGCCGCGUGUGUGAAGAAGGCCUUCGGGUUGUAAAGCACUUUCAGCGAGGAGGAAGGUGGUGAACUUAAUACGUUCAUCAAUUGACGUUACUCGCAGAAGAAGCACCGGCUAACUCCGUGCCAGCAGCCGCGGUAAUACGGAGGGUGCAAGCGUUAAUCGGAAUUACUGGGCGUAAAGCGCACGCAGGCGGUUUGUUAAGUCAGAUGUGAAAUCCCCGGGCUCAACCUGGGAACUGCAUUUGAAACUGGCAAGCUAGAGUCUCGUAGAGGGGGGUAGAAUUCCAGGUGUAGCGGUGAAAUGCGUAGAGAUCUGGAGGAAUACCGGUGGCGAAGGCGGCCCCCUGGACGAAGACUGACGCUCACGUGCGAAAGCGUGGGGAGCAAACAGGAUUAGAUACCCUGGUAGUCCACGCUGUAAACGAUGUCUAUUUGGAGGUUGUGCCCUUGAGGCGUGGCUUCCGAAGAUAACUCGUGAAAUCGACAGUCUGGGGAGUACGGCCGCGAGGUUAACUCUCAAUUAUGUUGACGGGGGGCCGCACGAGCAGUGUAGCACGAUGGUCUAUUUUUAUGAUACGGCGAAGAGCCUUUCCUAUUCGUGACAUCUAGAGAACCUCGCGGAGAUGCUCUGGCGCCUUCGGGAGCUUUGAGACAGGUGCCGCACGGCUGUCGUCAGCUCGAGUUGUGAAAUGGUGGGAGAAGUCCCGCAACGAGCGCACCCCUUAUCUUGAGUAUCCACCGGUUCGGCCGGGAACUCAAAGGAGACUACCAGUGAUUAUCGCGAGGAAGGUGGUGAUGGGGACAAGUCAUCACGGCCCUUAUGAGUAGGGCUACACAUCGUGCUACAAUGGCAUAUACAAAGAGAAGCGCCCUCGCGUGAGCAAGCGGGCCUCAUAAAGUAUGUCGUAGUCCGGAUUGGAGUCUGCAACUCGACUCCAUGAAGUCGGAAUCGCUAGUAAUCGUAGAUCACAAUGCUACGGUGAAUAAGUUCCGCGGGCCU